rnacentral:rRNA from 1 species
GUGGGGAAUCUUGCGCAAUGGGCGAAAGCCUGACGCAGCCAUGCCGCGUGAAUGAUGAAGGUCUUAGGAUUGUAAAAUUCUUUCACCGGGGACGAUAAUGACGGUACCCGGAGAAGAAGCCCCGGCUAACUUCGUGCCAGCAGCCGCGGUAAUACGAAGGGGGCUAGCGUUGCUCGGAAUUACUGGGCGUAAAGGGAGCGUAGGCGGAUAGUUUAGUCAGAGGUGAAAGCCCAGGGCUCAACCUUGGAAUUGCCUUUGAUACUGGCUAUCUUGAGUAUGGAAGAGGUAUGUGGAACUCCGAGUGUAGAGGUGAAAUUCGUAGAUAUUCGGAAGAACACCAGUGGCGAAGGCGACAUACUGGUCCAUUACUGACGCUGAGGCUCGAAAGCGUGGGGAGCAAAAAGGAUUAGAUACCCCAGUAGUCC